CAUUCACCUUGUUUAUGAUGCUUGUUUUGUGUUCUAUGGAGAUGUUUUGUGUUUUUGCAUUCAAAAGGACUACUGUUGAAAAACCCUACUUUAGUUGUCCAGGCCAAUCAUGGUAGCAUAUUCAGAAAUGGUUAAUGGUUAAUGGUUAAAAGGAAAAAGAAAGUCUCUUAAAGAAGACCUACUCAUCAUGUAAACGUCAGACUUUUUUUUUUAUCUUCC